AUUGAACGCUGGCGGCAGGCCUAACACAUGCAAGUCGAACGAGUGGCGGACGGGUGAGUAAUGUCUUGUAAACUGCCCGAUGGAUGGGGAUAACUACUGGAAACGGUCGCUAAUACCGCAUACCAUCGGAUGUGCCCCGAUGGGAUUGGCUAGUAGGUGGGGUAACGGCUCACCUAGGCGACGAUCCCUAGCUGGUCUGAGAGGAUGACCAGCCACACUGGAACUGAGACACGGUCCAGACUCCUACGGGAGGCAGCAGUGGGGAAUAUUGCACAAUGGGCGCAAGCCUGAUGCAGCCAUGCCGCGUGUAUGAAGAAGGCCUUCGGGUUGUAAAGUACUUUCAGCGAGGAGGCGUUACUCGCAGAAGAAGCACCGGCUAACUCCGUGCCAGCAGCCGCGGUAAUAC
rnacentral:rRNA from 1 species